rnacentral:rRNA from 1 species
AUACGGGAGGCAGCAGUGGGGAAUAUUGGUCAAUGGACGCAAGUCUGAACCAGCUAUGCCGCGUGAAGGAUGAAGGCCCUCUGGGUUGUAAACUUCUUUUAUCUGGGACGAAAAAAGCUCUUUCUAGAGCACUUGACGGUACAAGAGGAAUAAGCACCGGCUAACUCCGUGCCAGCAGCCGCGGUAAUACGGAGGGUGCAAGCGUUAUCCGGAUUUACUGGGUUUAAAGGGUGCGUAGGUGGGUCUGUAAGUCAGUGGUGAAAUCUCCGAGCUUAACUCGGAAACUGCCAUUGAUACUAUAGGUCUUGAAUUAUCUGGAGGUAAGCGGAAUAUGUCAUGUAGCGGUGAAAUGCUUAGAUAUGACAUAGAACACCAAUUGCGAAGGCAGCUUACUACGGAUCGAUUGACACUGAGGCACGAAAGCGUGGGGAUCAAACAGGAUUAGAUACCCGUGUAGUCCU